rnacentral:rRNA from 1 species
UAAAGUGGCGAACGGCUGAGUAACACGUGGGCAACCUGCCCUUUGCACUGGGAUAGCCUCGGGAAACCGAGGUUAAUACCGGAUACUCCAUAUUUGUCGCAUGGCGAAUAUGGGAAAGCUCCGGCGGCAAAGGAUGGGCCCGCGGCCUGUUAGCUAGAUGGUGGGGUAGUGGCCUACCAAGGCAAUGAUGGGUAGCCGGGUUGAGAGACCGACCGGCCAGAUUGGGACUGAGACACGGCCCAGACUCCUACGGGAGGCAGCAGAU